CUACCCGGGUAUCUAAUCCUGUUUGCUCCCCACGCUUUCGAGCCUCAACGUCAGUUACCGUCCAGUAAGCCGCCUUCGCCACUGGUGUUCCUCCUAAUAUCUACGCAUUUCACCGCUACACUAGGAAUUCCGCUUACCCCUCCGGCACUCAAGCUCAACAGUUUCCAAUGCAGUCCAGGGGUUAAGCCCCUGCCUUUCACAUCAGACUUGCUGCGCCGUCUACGCUCCCUUUACACCCAGUAAAUCCGGAUAACGCUUGCCCCCUACGUAUUACCGCGGCUGCUGGCAC
rnacentral:rRNA from 1 species